CCCCUGUAAAAUAAAAAAUGUGCACUUCACCCCCUACCGUUAGGGUUCCGUCAGGGUUCCGUUAAGAAAUAUAUUUUUAUGCCGAAAAUACCCCUCCGCCAUCUCCCUGUUGCUUCGACUCCCUCCGGCUCGCCACCUCACCGCCGCCUCGCCGCCUCGCCGCCUCGCCGUCCUCCACUGCCUCGCCGUCACCCACAUCCCCUUCGUCGUCUUCCGCCGCCUCACCUUCGCCUUCUUUAUUCUUCUCCUACUGUCGCCCACCUCGGUUUUCUCCUACUGUCGCCGAAAUCGAGGGCGGCGAGGGUGCAGGAGGAGAAGGGGAGCAGGUGGAGAAGGAAAUGGAGAGAAAUCGCGGCCGAUUGAGG
rnacentral:lncRNA from 1 species